AAUGAAAAUCUGGAUUCUAAGUAGAAAUGCGGGUAUGAGCAGCCAGGAUAUUGAUAGGGGCAGUCAAGAAAAGAAUUCUACUGAAAUAAGGAUGAUGAAUUCCCAUGGACAGCUAGCAAAUUAUCUGAUGUGGGAAGCAGGUUCAGGAUUUCUGAACGAUGGAUGAUCCUGAUUGACAUUUCAUGUGACAGUUCUCAAUCUCUUCGUGAUUGGGAAAGUGGCACUUAUAACCACCAUCUACUGGCAAGUCAUUGGCUCUCUCUCCUUCUUGGCCUGGUUUCCCUGUCCCUCAUUCCUACCUUUUUCCAGGAUCACAAAAGCCGAUAACAAGCUUGCACUCAGGUUCUGCUUCCUGGAGAGCCCAGGCUGAUAUCUCACUUCAUAUUUACAACAACUAUGCAAGAUAUGUCUUCUUGUUGUUGUCUCAUAAAUAAAGAAACGGGAGAGUCUAACAAGAUAACUGACUUGUACAGAGUCACACAGCUAGUUGGAGUGCAGUGAUGCAAUCAUGGCUCACUUCAGCCUCUACCUCCUGGGAUCAAGCAAUCCUCCCACCUCAGCCUCUGGAGUCACCGGGACUACAGAUACAAACUUUUGAGACCCACCCUUCGUAAGAAAAAAAAUGCAGAAGAAAGACAAAUUGGAUUUCAUUUCAAGAAAAUUGAAAAUAAAAUUCUUCAUACUG
rnacentral:lncRNA from 1 species